GACGAACGCUGGCGGCGUGCUUAACACAUGCAAGUCGAACGGUAAGGCCCUUCGGGGUACACGAGUGGCGAACGGGUGAGUAACACGUGGGUGAUCUGCCCUGCACUUCGGGAUAAGCCUGGGAAACUGGGUCUAAUACCGGAUAGGACUCCUGCCUGCAUGGGUGGGGGUGGAAAGCUUUUGCGGUGUGGGAUGGGCCCGCGGCCUAUCAGCUUGUUGGUGGGGUGAUGGCCUACCAAGGCGACGACGGGUCGCCGGCCUGAGAGGGUGACCGGCCACGCUGGGACUUGGAUACUGCCCAGACGCCUACGGGAGGCAGCAGUGGGGAAUAUUGCACAAUGGGCGCAAGCCUGAUGCAGCGACGCCGCGUGAGGGAUGACGGCCUUCGGGUUGUAAACCUCUUUCAGCACAGACGAAGCGCAAGUGACGGUAUGUGCAGAAGAAGGACCGGCCAACUACGUGCCAGCCGCCGCUGUAA
rnacentral:rRNA from 1 species